rnacentral:rRNA from 1 species
GUGAGGAAUAUUGGUCAAUGGGCGAGAGCCUGAACCAGCCAAGUCGCGUGAAGGAAGAAGGAUCUAUGGUUCGUAAACUUCUUUUGCAGGGGAAUAAAGUGCGGGACGUGUCCUGUUUUGUAUGUACCCUGAGAAUAAGGAUCGGCUAACUCCGUGCCAGCAGCCGCGGUAAUACGGAGGAUCCGAGCGUUAUCCGGAUUUAUUGGGUUUAAAGGGUGCGUAGGUGGGUUGAUACGUCAGCGGUGAAAGUUUGCAGCUUAACUGUAAAAAUGCCGUUGAAACUGUCGGACUUGAGUGUAAAUGAGGUAGGCGGAAUGCGUGGUGUAGCGGUGAAAUGCAUAGAUAUCACGCAGAACUCCGAUUGCGAAGGCAGCUUACUAAGCUACAACUGACACUGAGGCACGAAAGCGUGGGGAUCAAACAGGAUUAGAUACCCGAGUAGUCC